GGGACAAUCUCUUGAAGCUAUAAAAUCAACUGCGCAUGCGCGACUUUAAUCAGCUGUUCCUGCAGGCUAGCCGGCCCAAAGUAGCAGCUGUCAAACUCUGUUUCUGGCUGAGAUGUAGUUCAUACGAAUUUUUGAGGUUAGAAUCUCGAAUAAUGGCGGUAGUGACUCUAAAAGGCUUGGAAAGCAUUUGUUAUUGAGUCGGAAAGUUGAUUCUUCAAAGAAGUGUCGGAAUUUAAUGCCUUUGCUCGUUGAAAAUUCAAAUGUACACAUUAC